rnacentral:SRP_RNA from 1 species
GCCAGGCACAGUGGCGCAUGCCUGUAGUCCCAGCUACUCGGGAGGCUGAGGUGGGAGGAUCGCUUGAGCCCAGGAGUUCUGGGCUGUAGUGCCCUAUGCCCAUCGGGUGUCCGCACUAAGCUCGGCAACAAUAUGGUGACCUCCCGGGAGCAGGGGACCACCAGGUUGCCUAAGGAGGGGUGAACCGGCCCAGGUCGGAAACGGAGCAGGUCAAAACUCCCGUGCUGAUCAGUAGUGGGAUUGCACCUGUGAGUAGCCACUGCACUCCAUCCUGGGCAACAUAGCGAGACCCGUUUCU